AAGUCGUAACAAGGUUUCCGUAGGUGACCUGCGGAAGGAUCAUUCAUAAUAAGUGUUUUAUGGCACUUUUUAAAUCCAUAUCCACCUUGUGUGCAAUGUCAGUCGAUCUUCUUCAUGGAGAUCGACCAAACAUCAACCUUUAUUUUUUAACUCUUUGUCUGAAAAAUAUUAUGAAUAAACAAUUCAAAAUACAACUUUCAACAACGGAUCUCUUGGCUCUCGCAUCGAUGAAGAACGCAGCGAAAUGCGAUACGUAAUGUGAAUUGCAGAAUUCAGUGAAUCAUCGAAUCUUUGAACGCAUAUUGCGCUCUUUGGUAUUCCGAAGAGCAUGCUUGUUUGAGUAUCAGUAAACACCUCAAAGCUUUUGGAUUUUUUAAUCGAAAAGCUUUGGACUUGAGCAAUCCCAACACCAAUCUUUUUGAGAUCGGUGGCGGGUUGCUUGAAAUGCAGGUGCAGCUGGACAUUCUCCUGAGCUAAAAGCAUAUUCAUUUAGUCCCGUCAAACGGAUUAUUACUUUUGCUGCAGCUAACAUAAAGGGAGUUUGACCGUAUUGGCUGACUGAUGCAGGAUUUCACAAGGGUCGGCAACGAUUCUUGUUAAACUCGAUCUCAAAUCAAGUAAGACUACCCGCUGAACUUA
rnacentral:misc_RNA from 1 species